rnacentral:rRNA from 1 species
UACGAAGGGGGCUAGCGUUGCUCGGAUUGACUGGGAGUAAAGGGCGCGUAGGCGGUUCGUACAGUCAGACGUGAAAUUCCUGGGCUCAACCUGGGGGCUGCGUUUGAUACGUGCGGGCUUGAGUGCGGAAGAGGGUCGUGGAAUUCCCAGUGUAGAGGUGAAAUUCGUAGAUAUUGGGAAGAACACCGGUGGCGAAGGCGGCGACCUGGUCCGAUACUGACGCUGAGGCGCGAAAGCGUGGGGAGCAAACAGG